CUUCCCUUUUUCUUUCUCUCUCAGAAAUUCUGGGUAUCAGAUCAUCUCAUCAGGUGGCCCCGACUCAAAAUUUAAAGAUGGCUAACUCUUCUGGUGAAUAUGGACCAUUUCUCAUCUGUUUUAACUGUCCAUCCACUGUCCCAGUGGACCAUCUUGAUAUUUGGCCGGACUCCAUUUGAUGGACGGCCCAGAUUUCACAUCAAAAGUAUGACACUUUCACGUGAUUCUUAUCCUUCCAUCUCUCAGGUUCGUGCCCGGCUUAGUAAAAUACCAUAAUAUCGUUGGUUAUUAUAUAUAGAAUUUUUUUUAAAAGGCUUUUUAAGGCGUUUUGGUAAUUAGAAAGGCGCCUUAAAAUAUCGUUGGUAAAUUAUACAUUCUUAUGGGUGUUUUGGUAAUUAGAUGAUGUUUGGUGGGUGGUGUUUGGGUAUUGACAAAUCUUGUUCCUGGCAAUUUUUCAGCACGCCAAUUUAUCCGCAGAUUUUCAUAUUUGGACAUUUUCCUCACCAUUUUAUUAGUAAAAUCUAGCUGAAAAUAUAUUAUUUAAAAAUAUUUAUUAUAAAUUGCUAAAUAAUUUUCCAUUAAAAUCGCAAUAACAAAUAAGUCAAAGCUUCCAAGAUUUUGAAAAUUUGUCAAUGUUACUGCAAUAAUAUGAUUUAAUCCAAAGUCUGCAAUAAUAUGACAAAAUUUUCAAAAUCUAGGAAUGGCGUUUGGUAAGUUUAUGUGAGGGUUAUUUCAGUUAUUUAUUAGAGACUGUGAUUGUUGGUUAUCAAGAUUAUUAUUAAUAAGUCAUCGAGGAAAGGAAAUAUAUUCUUUAAUACAUCAUAAUCAUAAUUGACUAAAAUUACAUGAAAUUAUUUUCAGGGUUUCUCCUAAAUGGGCCCUUAGAUUUUAUUUGCUGGGGCCCUUUUUUUCUGUCUUCUUUCCUGCUGCUUGGUAGGCAGGGAGUUUUGGUUGAAUAUAUCCAGACCUACUAUGAUAAGUCUGGAUUUAACCAGUUGGAUUUUUAUUUUUCUUAAUGACGUGGACCAAUCAUUUGAUAUGGCUCUACUUGGUUGGACAGGGGAUAACCAAAAAAAUCCUCUCCGAGUUGAAAAUUUAACUGUUUAAUUAUAAUAUGGCUCUGCUUGGUUGGGCAGGGGAUACCCAAAAAACCCUCUCGAGUUGAAAUUUUAACCGUAUAAUUAUAUAAAUGUUAUGGUCUCGGUUUUU